CGGGGGGGGCAAGCGUUGUUCGGAAUUACUGGGCGUAAAGGGCUCGUAGGCGGCCAACUAAGUCCGACGUGAAAUCCCCAGGCUCAACCUGGGAACUGCGUCGGAUACUGGAUGGCUUGAAUUCGGGAGAGGGAUGCAGAAUUCCAGGUGUAGCGGUGAAAUGCGUAGAUAUCUGGAGGAAUACCGGUGGCGAAGGCGGCAUCCUGGACCGACAUUGACGCUGAUGAGCGAAAGCUAGGGGAGCAAACGGGAUUAGAUACCCCGGUAGUCCUAGCCCUAAACGAUGAAUGCUUGGUGUGACGGGUAUCGAUCCCUGUCGUGCCGAAGCUAACGCAUUAAGCAUCCCGCCUGGGGAGUACGGUCGCAAGGCUG
rnacentral:rRNA from 1 species